UACGAAAGGUCCAAGCGUUACCCGGAAUUACUGGGCGUAAAGCGCACGUAGGCGGCUCUUUAAGUCGGGGGUGAAAUCCUGGAGCUCAACUCCAGAGCUGCCUUCGAUACUGUAGAGCUUGAGUUCGGGAGAGGUGAGUGGAACUGCGAGUGUAGAGGUGAAAUUCGUAGAUAUUCGCAAGAACACCAGUGGCGAAGGCGGCUCACUGGCCCGAUACUGACGCUGAGGUGCGAAAGCGUGGGGAGCAAACAGG
rnacentral:rRNA from 1 species